CGCCCCAUAGUCUGGGAUACCACUUGGAAACAGGUGCUAAUACCGGAUAAGAAAGCAGAUCGCAUGAUCAUCUUUUAAAAGGCGGCGUAAGCUGUCGCUAUGGGAUGGCCCCGCGGUGCAUUAGCUAGUUGGUAAGGUAAAGGCUUACCAAGGCGAUGAUGCAUAGCCGAGUUGAGAGNCUGAUCGGCCACAUUGGGACUGAGACACGGCCCAAACUCCUACGGGAGGCAGCAGCC
rnacentral:rRNA from 1 species